rnacentral:rRNA from 1 species
GUUGGGUAGGGGAGCGUUCUGUAAGCCUGUGAAGGUGUGUCGUGAGGCAUGCUGGAGGUAUCAGAAGUGCGAAUGCUGACAUAAGUAACGAUAAAGCGGGUGAAAAGCCCGCUCGCCGGAAGACCAAGGGUUCCUGUCCAACGUUAAUCGGGGCAGGGUGAGUCGACCCCUAAGGCGAGGCCGAAAGGCGUAGUCGAUGGGAAACGGGUUAAUAUUCCCGUACUUGGUGUUACUGCGAAGGGGGGACGGAGAAGGCUAUGUUGGCCGGGCGACGGUUGUCCCGGUUUAAGCGUGUAGGUGUGUGUUCCAGGUAAAUCCGGUUCACUUUAACACUGAGGCGUGACGACGAGGCACUACGGUGCUGAAGCAACAAAUGCCCUGCUUCCAGGAAAAGCCUCUAAGCAUCAGGUAACA